rnacentral:rRNA from 1 species
GAUGAACGCUAGCGGCUGGCUUAACACAUGCAAGUCGAGGGGUAUAUUUCUUCGGAGAUAGAGACCGGCGCACGGGUGCGUAACGCGUAUGCAAUCUACCUUUUACAGAGGGAUAGCCCAGAGAAAUUUGGAUUAAUACCUCAUAGCAUUGCAGGAUGGCAUCAUUCAGCAAUUAAAGUCACAACGGUAAAAGAUGAGCA